rnacentral:rRNA from 1 species
AUACGGAGGAUCCGAGCGUUAUCCGGAUUUAUUGGGUUUAAAGGGAGCGUAGGUGGAUUGUUAAGUCAGUUGUGAAAGUUUGCGGCUCAACCGUAAAAUUGCAGUUGAAACUGGCAGUCUUGAGUACAGUAGAGGUGGGCGGAAUUCGUGGUGUAGCGGUGAAAUGCUUAGAUAUCACGAAGAACUCCGAUUGCGAAGGCAGCUCACUAGACUGUUACUGACACUGAUGCUCGAAAGUGUGGGUAUCAAACAGGAUUAGAUACCCUGGUAGUCCACACAGUAAACGAUGAAUACUCGCUGUUUGCGAUAUACAGUAAGCGGCCAAGCGAAAGCAUUAAGUGUUCCACCUGGGGAGUACGCCGGCAACGGUGAAACUCAAAGGAAUUGACGGGG